rnacentral:rRNA from 1 species
UACGGGGAGGCAGCAGGUGGGGAAUAUUGCACAAUGGGCGAAAGCCUGAUGCAGCUAUGCCGCGUGUAUGAAGAAGGCCUUAGGGUUGUAAAGUACUUUCAUCGGGGAGGAAAAAAACAAAACUAAUAAUUUUAUUUCUUGACGUUACCCGAAAAAGAAGCACCGGCUAACUCCGUGCCAGCAGCCGCGGUAAUACGGAGGGUGCUAGCGUUAAUCAGAAUUACUGGGCGUAAAGAGCACGUAGGUGGUUUUUUUAAAGUCAGAUGUGAAAUCCCUGGGCUUAACCUAGGAACUGCAUUUUGAAACUGAAAUACUAGAGUAUCGUAGAGGGAGGUAGAAUUCUAGGUGUAGCGGUGAAAUGCGUAGAUAUCUGGAGGAAUACCUGUGGCGAAAGCGGCCUCCUAAACCGAAUACUGACACUGAGGUGCGAAAGCGUGGGGAGCAAACAGGAUUAGAUACC